GGGGGGGGGGGGGGGGGGGGGGGGGCAAGAGAAAGGAGUGAGGAAAAAAUGGAAGGGGCAAGAAAGGGGUAGUCCUUGCUCUCUUUCUUUCCCCCCCCCCCUUAACUUCUCCC
rnacentral:miRNA from 1 species